rnacentral:rRNA from 1 species
GAUGAACGCUGGCGGCGUGCCUAAUACAUGCAAGUCGAGCGAACAGACGAGGAGCUUGCUCCUCUGACGUUAGCGGCGGACGGGUGAGUAACACGUGGAUAACCUACCUAUAAGACUGGGAUAACUUCGGGAAACCGGAGCUAAUACCGGAUAAUAUAUUGAACCGCAUGGUUCAAUAGUGAAAGACGGUUUUGCUGUCACUUAUAGAUGGAUCCGCGCCGCAUUAGCUAGUUGGUAAGGUAACGGCUUACCAAGGCAACGAUGCGUAGCCGACCUGAGAGGGUGAUCGGCGACACUGGAACUGAGACACGGUCCAGACGCCGACGGGAGGCAGCAGUAGGGAAUCUUCCGCAAGGGGCGAAAGCCUGACGGAGCAACGCCGCGUGAGUGAUGAAGGUCUUCGGAUCGUAAAACUCUGUUAUUAGGGAAGAACAAAUGUGUAAGUAACUAUGCACGUCUUGACGGUACCUAAUCAGAAAGCCACGGCUAACUACGUG